GAUGAACGCUGGCGGCGUGCCUAAUACAUGCAAGUCGAGCGAAGCGGGGACGGGUGAGUAACACGUGGAUAACCUCCUAUAUGAAUGGGUUAACUUCGGGAAACCCGUGCUAAACGGGCUACUUAUAGUUGGAUCCGCGGUGCAUUCGCUAGUUGGUAAGGUAACGGCUUACUAAGGCAACGAUGCUUCGCCGACCUGAGAGGGUGAUCGGCCACACUGGAACUGAGACACGGUCCAGACUCCUACGGGAGGCAGCAGUAGGGAAUCUUCCGCAAUGGGCGAAAGCCUGACGGAGCAACGCCGCGUGAGUGAUGAAGGUCUUCGGAUCGUAAAACUCUGUUAUUAGGGAAGCGGUACCUAAUCAGAAAGCCACGGCUAACUACGUGCCAGCAGCCGCGGUAAUUC
rnacentral:rRNA from 1 species